rnacentral:lncRNA from 1 species
AGGCUUAAGAAGCUUAAGGAAAAGCAUGCAAGCCUUCAACUGUCCUGCUGCGCAAUUUCCAGCUGAAGUUAUAAUCUUCUGUUUGGGAUACCAUAGUUGAUUACUGUUGAAAUGACUGUAAUACUCAUUAUCCACCAUUUGUUGGAAGAGUGGAAGAAGACUGUGAUUAAAUAAAAAUUGGCUUGGAUUUUGCUUCCAACAUCUACCACAUUACUUUAAGAACUUAAUCAAAAUUUUGCUGUUGGUGUUUCUAAAUGUUUUUCUCGAUCACUUGCUUGGUCAGUACAAAUGUGGUAGAUUGAAUUAUUGACUCCAUUAUUUACCACUGCAGGAAUCGACAUCCUUUUCCACAGACCGUUGCAGUUCCUCUCACUGUAGACCGAGUAGACCCUUCGGUCUCAGUCAUGUGACUUACUUUAGUCAAGAAGACUUGAAAUGUGCAUGCAUAGAUGGGCUUGUCCUCUCACACCUCUGCCACCUUUGUAAAAAGAAGCUGUCCUGUUACGAUUUUGCACCAAGGAAGAUGACGGACACAGAAGCAUAUUUGGACCCAUCUCACACCCUGGCAUCCACGGCAGACUGGAGAGCCAAUUCUGUGCCUACUCACACACAUGUAAGAGAGAAUAAAUGGUUGCUUUAAGCCAGCAUUAGGACUGUUUAUUGUGCAACAAUAGCUGACUAGUACAACCACCCACAUUUAUGACUAUGAGUGAAAAGAUAUGUUAUUAACUGCAGUCACAUCAUCAAUUAACAUUACCAGAGUACUCAUUGCAGGUAGAAAUAUGCAUUUUGAGGAGGCCUAAAAGAGAUAUAGAAGUUUUGUCUGCUGCUCUGGAAGAUUCUGAUAGAAGGGUAUGCUGCUCAUCAGACUCAUUAUUUCAAUAACAUUUAUUGAGAGCAUACUCUGUGUCAGACACUGUGCUACAGCCGGAAGAACAAAGAUAAACAAGUCAGGCCUGACUUCAACAAGCAUGAGGCCUAGUAGGAGACACAGACUUGCAAACAAAGCGCUGCUUUAUAAAAUUUCCAAACCGGCUGGGCGCGGUGGCUCACGCCUGUAAUCCCAGCACUUUGGGAGGCCGAGGUGGGUGGAUUACGAGGUCAGGAAAUUGAGACCAUCCUGGCUAACACGGUGAAACCCGUCUCUACUAAAAAUACAAACAAACAAACAAACAAACAAACAAUUAGCCCGGUGUGGUGGCAGGCGCCUGUAGUCCCAGCUACUCGGGAGGCUGAGGCAGGAGAAUGGCUUGAACCUGGGAGGCGGAGCUUGCAGUCAGCAGAGAUCCCGCCACUGCACUCCAGCCUGGGUGACAGAGCGAGACUCCGUCUAAAAAAAAAAAAAGAAAAUUCCCAAACUGCAACUGUAUUUGAACUGUAUACAGUACAGUAUCUGGAGCCCAG